UCUACAUACAUAUCUAAAUGAGAUGAAGCACAACAUCCCAACACUUUCCAUGCAACCAUACUCGUAUUAUGACCAACAUUUCUUCUGUAGCUUAAAAAACCCGUUCACGCAUGCGUGCACGCACACCCAAUUCGUUGCAGCACAGCACUCUCUACACUUCCCAUCACUCACUUGCUAUAAAUGAACUACAUAACUGUGCUACAUGGAGGCUGACAGUGGGUGCAGGUGUGAGUGAGUAAAAGGAACUCGUUCAUAACGCAACUGGGGAUACGAGUAUCUAGAAUAUUACUCAUAUAUAUGUAUGUAUGUACCUGUAGCUGGUACGUGCCGGUGCAUAUAUGUAUAUAAGAGUGUGGCUACUUAUGUAUGUACGUGCAAACAAAAAUUGCACAUUUUGACGCAAAAAUUUAUGAGUAAGUAUUUUUAUGAAUUUUAAUAUGCGAAAUAAAGGGUGUCACACAAUGCGCUGGAGUAGCUACAUACUUACAUAUAUUGUCCAAGCUAUCUACGGUUUGUCAACAGUUACAGCGCGCCAACGGUAGCUAGCUAACGCUUUUGAAAAACGUUUAUGGAACAAUUUUCCACCCAACUUAAUUAUUGCGAUUUAUUAAAAAAUUGUUUUUGUGCAGCUUGCAAUGGGAAAGAGUGUGGUGUGGUGAGGUGAAGUGAGGUGAAGUGAGGCUUUGCGGGAGUGACGCAGCCGCUAACUUGACUGCGACUUAAGAAUACAUACAUAUUUGUUUUAAGUACAGUGACAAAGCAGAACAUGUAGAGCGCUGAACAGGUGGAAGGAAGGUUGAACGAUUAUACGGACGGACAAACGGAUGACAGACGAGGAGGACUGGUUUUAAGUACGCAGCAGCAAGAUUUUUAAGCUGUUUACAAAUGUUUCUCGAAAUUUAUUUUGAUUUUAUAUAAAUUUAUGUGCUAUCUAAAUGUACGUAGUCAUACAUACAGUUGGUAGGUUUUAUAUUGACAUGCGCAGCUGGAGUGGGCUCAGUAAAUUCUAAACAGCUAACGUGUACGGAUCUUCCACAUUGCGCAGCCGCAACCAGCAGCAUAUCAAAAGGCAUUUUGUUGAACGCAACCACAAACGACGCCUACGUGCAUAUUUGCAUAUAAAACAGACA